rnacentral:rRNA from 1 species
GACGAACGCUGGCGGCGUGCCUAAUACAUGCAAGUUGAGCGCUGAAGGUUGGUACUUGUACCAACUGGAUGAGCAGCGAACGGGUGAGUAACGCGUGGGGAAUCUGCCUUUGAGCGGGGGACAACAUUUGGAAACGAAUGCUAAUACCGCAUAAAAACUUUAAACACAAGUUUUAAGUUUGAAAGAUGCAAUUGCAUCACUCAAAGAUGAUCCCGCGUUGUAUUAGCUAGCUGGUGAGGUAAAGGCUCACCAAGGCGAUGAUACAUAGCCGACCUGAGAGGGUGAUCGGCCACAUUGGGACUGAGACACGGCCCAAACGCCUACGGGAGGCAGCAGUAGGGAAUCGUCGGCAAUGGACGAAAGUCUGACCGAGCAACGCCGCGUGAGUGAAGAAGGUUUUCGGAUCGUAAAACUCUGUUGGUAGAGAAGAACGUUGGUGAGAGUGGAAAGCUCAUCAAGUGACGGUAACUACCCAGAAAGGGACGGCUAACUACGUG